CAGAAUGUGGUGAAAUGGUAAACACGUAAUGCUUAGGACAUUAUGCUUCAUACGCUUCCAGGUUCAACUCCUGGCAUUCUUA
rfam:Beta vulgaris subsp. vulgaris contig104169.1, whole genome shotgun sequence.